rnacentral:tRNA from 1 species
UUAAAGAUAGACUAAAUUUAAAGUCUAUAGAUUCAUAAUUUAUAAAUAAAUUAACAUUUUCUUUAAA